rnacentral:sRNA from 1 species
UCCAGCCUUAUCUCGUGCGCCAGUGUC